rnacentral:lncRNA from 1 species
UUCAUAUGAACACAACAAUUAUAAUUUAACGUAAAAUUGACUAAAACAAGGGGUUACCUAAUUAUGAAAAUGAUAGAUCUUUGUCUCAAUGACCAAUUCAUCAAUUACUUAGGUUGCUUUCAUCAACAAUAGAAACAUUUCCUGAAAUUUCCUGAAAUUGAAUGACAUUACGUUAUUACAUAAAUAAUCAAAGAAAACAAACUACAAAGUAUAGAAUUGUUCGAACUAAAUGUAUCACUCUUACUUGUCUUUGGUAUUUGCUCCCUUCGUGUUCUAAUGGCUUGAUAAUGCUCCAUAAUUUGACGAUCUUCAAUAUAUGCAAAUUUAUCCCUCUCGAUGUAAUUGUUCGAACUCUCUUUAUAUUGUACACUGUAAUCGUAACACUAAACACUAUGAAUUAUGAAACUUUCUAGGCACAACAUAUUUUUUUCGGUGUCAAACAUCAACAACAAACCUGCUUGCUACGCCGCUGCGUUGCUCUGCUUGCUUGCUGUGUUGCUCUGCUUGCGGCGCUGCUCCUGCUUGUUGCGCUUGCUCUGCUUGCUUGCUGUGUUGCUCUGCUUGCGGCGCUGCUCCUGCUUGUUGCGCUUGCUCUGCUUGCUGCGCUGCCUGCUGCUUGCUUGCCCGGCCGGCCGGCCCCCUGCGCGGCUUGCCUGCUCGGCUUAUUGUUUGCUUGCUUGCUUUUGCUUUCUCGCGCAGCUUGCCUGCUUGCUGGUUGCUGCACUGCUUGCUGCGUCGGCGGCGGAAUUAGUUGGGACUGGUGCGCGACUCGCGCGAGC